GACGAACGCUGGCGGCGUGCUUAACACAUGCAAGUCGAGCGGAAAGGCCACUUCGGUGGUACUCGAGCGGCGAACGGGUGAGUAACACGUGAGUAAUCUGCCCCUGGCUUUGGGAUAGCCACCGGAAACGGUGAUUAAUACCGGAUACGACCACUUCUCGCAUGGGAUGGUGGUGGAAAGUUUUUUCGGCCAGGGAUGUGCUCGCGGCCUAUCAGCUUGAUGGUGAGGUAAUGGCUCACCAUGGCUUCGACGGGUAGCCGGCCUGAGAGGGUGACCGGUCACACUGGGACUGAGACACUGCCCAGACGCCUACGGGAGGCAGCAGUGGGGAAUAUUGGACAAUGGGCGGAAGCCUGAUCCAGCAACGCCGCGUGAGGGAUGACGGCCUUCGGGUUGUAAACCUCUUUCAGCAGGGACGAAGCGCAAGUGACGGUACCUGCAGAAGAAGCACCGGCCAACUACGUACCAGCCGCCGCAGUAA
rnacentral:rRNA from 1 species